rnacentral:rRNA from 1 species
ACGCUGGCGGCAUGCCUUACACAUGCAAGUCGAACGGCAGCACGGAGCUUGCUCUGGUGGCGAGUGGCGAACGGGUGAGUAAUAUAUCGGAACGUACCCUAGAGUGGGGGAUAACGUAGCGAAAGUUACGCUGAUACCGCAUACGAUCUAAGGAUGAAAGUGGGGGAUCGCAAGACCUCAUGCUCGUGGAGCGGCCGAUAUCUGAUUAGCUAGUUGGUAGGGUAAAAGCCUACCAAGGCAUCGAUCAGUAGCUGGUCUGAGAGGACGACCAGCCACACUGGAACUGAGACACGGUCCAGACUCCUACGGGAGGCAGCAGUGGGGAAUCUUGGACAAUGGGCGAAAGCCUGAUCCAGCAAUGCCGCGUGAGUGAAGAAGGCCUUCGGGUUGUAAAGCUCUUUUGUCAGGGAAGAAACGGUGAAAGCUAAUAUCUUUUGCUAAUGACGGUACCAGAAGAAUAAGCACCGGCUAACUACGUGCCAGCAGCCGCGGUAAUACGUAGGGUGCAAGCGUUAAUCGGAAUUACUGGGCGUAAAGCGUGCGCAGGCGGUUUUGUAAGUCUGAUGUGAAGUCCCCGGGCUCAACCUGGGAAUUGCAUUCAAAACUGACUGACUAGAGUAUGGUAGAGGGUGGUGGAAUUUCCUGUGUAGCGGUGAAAUGCGUAGAUAUAGGAAGGAGCACCAGUGGCGAAGGCGACCACCUGGACUAAUACUGACACUGAGGUGCGAAAGCGUGGGGAGCAAAC